rnacentral:lncRNA from 1 species
AAGUGAUCCAGUGACACAUCUCUCAGUAUGCUCCAGUCCAAAUUUGACAAGAAAUAGGUUUCCUCAAGAAGAGCGCCAGCCACAGUUCUGGAGUAUCUGUUCCUAGACGGAGGUGAAUGCACUAGAUGAAGUGCAUGAACCUGAACAACUUGAGGGAAGGACAGUAGUAGAUGCUGGGCUGCUGUCAAGAUCCCCCUUACAGUUGGGGCACCCAUUCAUCCAGCUGCCCGGGUUGUUGAAGGGUAGUGAUGGCUCUCAGAUGACUCCCUGUCCUGAAAUAUCCUCAGCCAAGGGAAACUGACUCAUCUAAAAUUUUGCCCCCUCCCUGGGCACAGGCUGCACCCAUGACUAGUCUUUCUGGGGACACAAAGACUUGAUUCCCUUGUCUCAAUUGAGACAAUUCUCACGGCUGUCUCAAGUCCAGAGCUCCCUGUCAGCCUCUGUUGAAACUGUAUUGCAAUUCAACUGCUCCAUUUGCCAAGUUCUGCCUUUGCUUCUCCCUUUGCCCCAUUCUCAUCUUUCAAGAUCUUUACUCGAUAAAUAUUUUGCAUAAAAAGCUCAGGGUUGUGGAGUCUGUUUUCCAGGAAACUUGCAAUACAACAGAUGGGUAAACG